rnacentral:rRNA from 1 species
CCCACCUGGGGAGUACGAUCGCAAGGUUGAAACUCAAAGGAAUUGACGGGGGCCCGCACAAGCGGUGGAGUAUGUGGUUUAAUUCGAAGCAACGCGAAGAACCUUACCAGGGCUUGACAUCCCGAUGACCGGCAUAGAGAUAUGCUUUUCUCUUCGGAGACAUCGGAGACAGGUGGUGCAUGGUUGUCGUCAGCUCGUGUCGUGAGAUGUUGGGUUAAGUCCCGCAACGAGCGCAACCCUUAUUGUUAGUUGCUACGCAAGAGCACUCUAGCGAGACUGCCGUUGACAAAACGGAGGAAGGUGGGGACGACGUCAAAUCAUCAUGCCCCUUAUGUCCUGGGCCACACACGUACUACAAUGGUGGUCAACAGAGGGAAGCAAUACCGCGAGGUGGAGCAAAUCCCUAAAAGCCAUCCCAGUUCGGAUCGCAGGCUGCAACCCGCCUGCGUGAAGUUGGAAUCGCUAGUAAUCGCGGAUCAGCAUGCCGCGGUGAAUACGUU